AAUGUGGUUUAGCUAGCGCGAGUUUUUUUGCGCCUCCCAAAAUUCCCUGUGCAGGUUGCUACGGAAGCUCCUGUAGACCAAAAAGUCUGCUGCGCCAUCAAGCCGGUCCGAAUGGAGACAGUGUGGUACUCUUCAGACGAUCUGGCGAGUUUGCUCCGAAGUGCGACUGUGAGGAGACACCAGCUCGAAAAUGCGACUCACCUUUUGUUCUGCGGUUUCCAGGAAAAAUGCUCUGAGUCACAGCCGUGACGUGCUGAAGCAGCCGAGGGGGAGGCGUACAUACUCCUGUUGGCAGUUGAAGAGAACCAGGGGGAGGAAAUGAAAGGUUCCAGCCCGACCCCCACCUUCACCUCUCCCCAGGCCUUACUGCCACAUCCACUGCACAUCCUCUGCUCCCUUCCGGGCCCCAAGCUCUGGAGCCUCACAAAGGAGCCCUAACAAGAGAGAAGAAAGAGCCAGUGCCACUUGGACGGGAUUACAUCCUAGUUACCAGGGGGACAAGCGCUGCCUCAUCUAAUAUAUGAUUGGCUGACUGAAAAGGGACGCUGACAGAUGCAGCUGAAGUACUGAAACAGGAGGAUCUCUGGAGUGUGUGGUCUGGUGGGUUGAGAACCUUAGUCGGAAAGAACCGUCUACCUCUUCAGGCAUGAGCCCAGAAGUGGACAGUUUUUAAUCACCACUUCGUACCGGGUAGCUCCACUGAAGCACUUGGGGGUGCAGUGUCUUGCUAAAGGGCUCCGGUAGCUGUGAUUCAGUGUAUGGUGGUGAGGUGACCGGUGGACAGUUGAACGGUACCUGGGACCAGGUCUGUCUGUCUGCUCUGCAAUCUGUGACUGCCUGUAAUCAGCUUCUUUAAAGGUUCCAGCCAGUAAUUGCUCAGUAUAGCCCCAAGAUAGCAAUCAAAGAGAAGGAGAAAAGAAUGCCAUGCUCUCCUUCUCUCUGUCUCUCUUUCCUUUUGUUUCUAUCAUUCUUUUUCUCCCCCUUUUCCCUCCCAAUCUGAAUCAUUUUCUGCUGCUUUGCGCUGUAAAGCAUCUUAGCAUCUGCUUUUUAGUAUUUGAGGGAGGAAAAUCAAUUAAAAUUGAACUAAUGACAAAAUUGAUAUUGCUUUGAAGAAUGCCCCUCCACCCCUCCCCUCCUCUCCCACUACCUCACCCCUCUCUCCCGUCUCUGUCCUGGUUGCAUUUUUCCUCAGUUCUCUGUUCUCUUAUCUUUCAACAAUUACAAGAGCAGUCUAAUGGCCCUUUUAAGUUGCCUGCCAGCUGUAUUUGCAAAAAAAUAAUGUCUUCUUCUUCAUCUGUGUGCAAGUGUAGCUGUGUUGAGGUUCAUUCUCAUGUAAGGAUUGCUGAUGCCUUUCCUCUGAAGUCAUGAUGAGGGCAUUAGAGCUGUUUGUCUGGGCACGAGAUGUGAGCGUAUUCAUGACUAGAUCUCAUGAUGGUAUGUCAAAUCUGUCAACCAUCAUAAGGUACCAGGCAGCGUUUGAUGUGGUAUAAAUUCCUGGUAUCCAAAGCUGUUAAUUCAGCACUGAAUAGCAAACCCAAACCCUUUAGCUGAUUAGCCAAUAAGAUGAUUGUUGGAAAACAAUUUGUCAAGUAAAUUGCACAUUUACUGCUUGUAGUUUUGUGGAUAUUACUGUUGCUCAUCAUCUUCAAAUACAAACACUGGGAUUCUUUUGGGCUGCUGGCGACAUGAUUUCAAGACAUUUCUGGUAAUUUAUGGAAUUAUUUUUGACAAUGUAUAGAUUAAAUGAUAAAUUAGGCCAAAUUGAAUGUAGGUUUUAUAAUUACGAAUGUGUAUUUGUGUUUUUAGGCUGUAAUGCACAGUUAAUAUUCCUUGCUGUGCACAGAUAACAUUCAGGCUAUAUAACUCUGCCAGUUCCCACAAAAUCUAUGUAGUACUGUGUGAUUUGUUUAGACUGUGAUUUCUCCCUUUUGUGUACUUAUAUAUAUUUGCAAAAUGUCCCACACAUUUUAUGUGUAUGCUUUAUGUGCACUGUUGCUAUAAACAGUAUGGUGUCACCGGA